CCCCCAGGGCCGGCACCAGCAGUGACCUCUCCCCGUGUCCCUUUCAGGGUGCCAUCAGCGCGGCUGUGAAGCUGUUCCCGAGGCCGAGCUCCCAAAGGAUCUGCCAGCAGCACUCCUGAUGUGUCAGGAGCAAGGUGCUGAUUGUUCCAGGCAGAGAGAUGCCGGCUGUGAGCAGGAGGAGAGUGAACUCUGCUCCAUUCGUGCAGUUGCAAAUGAGCCCCAGCAUCCCCAGCAGGGACCAGCAGCCGCGGUUCCACACCUGCCUGGGGCCCAAGAAGCCACCUGGCAUCAGCAGGGGGAUGCCACUUGUGAGUGUGCAGUGAGUGAAGAUGUGGAGAAUGGAUUCUGCACCAGUGAUGGGAGUGUGAGGGAGAGCCUGACUCCCCAGGGCACAUCAGCAACCAAGAAUGAACUCAAAAGGAACCUCAGAAGAUUCCUGGGUGAAUGGAUCAGGGGCCAUCCCGUGGGCACGGCGGUGCUGAUUCUGCUGCUCCUGGUGCUGGUGCUGGCUUUGGGGGUGGCCCUGGCUGUGCUGGCAGCACCACAGGUUCCAGUCACACCUGCAAC